rnacentral:rRNA from 1 species
GUUUGACCCUGGCUCAGGGAGAACGGUGGGGGCAGGCUUAACACAUACAUGUCGAGCGGGCAUAGCAAUAUGUCAGCGGCAGAGGGGUGAGUAACGCGUGGGAACGUACCUUGUGGUUGGGAACAACUGAGGGAAACUUCAGAUAAUCCCGGAUAAGCCCUUACGGAGAAAGAUUUAUCGCCGAAAGAUGGGCCCGUGUGUGAUUAGAUAGUUGGUGAGGUAAUGGCUCCCCAAGGCGACGAUCAGUAGGGGGUGUGAGAGGAAGAUCACCCACAUUGGGAGUGAGACACGGCCCAAACUCCUACGGGAGGCCGCAGUGGGGAAUAUUGGACAAUGGGCGCAAGCSUGAUCCAACCAUGCCGCAGAGUGAUGAAGGCCCUAGGGUUGUAAAGCUCUUUUGUGCGGGAAGAUAAUGACG